AUCAUUCAAGGUGCCUGAUGUCUAUGGGGUUUUCCAGUUUAAGGUCGAGUAUCAGAGGCUUGGAUACACUAGUUUGUCUCUAUCCAAGCAGGUAAGCUCCUUUUAUUGUAAUACUUUUUUUCUCUGCUUUAAUAUUUUAGUAACAUUCCUGCUUAAUAUUUUUGCAUUAGUUGAUGCAAUUAUGAUUUUGCCUGCAAGUUGCUUAUGUUGAGGCCUGAUGAAAAAAAAAUAUAUCUAAACCUUUAUACAGAUUUGCAAUUUUUUCUUAUCCUUUUAAUUUUGUCAAUUUUAGCCUGAUUUGAAAAGUGAGUUGCAAUUUUGUCUUAGGCAAAAUUUGGGAAAAAAAUUCUUAUUAGAAUUUUUUUAUUAGUAUUUUUUUACUUUUGCCACUUUUCUUUCCUCGCCCUCCUCCCUCUUGCUGAGCCCAAUGCUACCGAAUAAUGGAGACCACUUGACUAGUUCCUUUCAUCGUUCUUCAACUGGGGACCACACAUUUUAGAGUAUUGUCUAGUGCCAGUGGUAAUAAUGGGAUUUUGAGUUGUGGAAUUUCUGAUUCUUUGCACAUGCAACGCUAUAUUCCACCUACAGGUGGUGGAAAGAAGUAAAAGUAGAAGAGAAGAGAUGAAAACAGAGAAGCAGCAGCUAAAUUUGAUGAAAAGGAUUUCUAAAGACUUGGAAAAAAUUCUUCUUGUAUGGCAUAUGGUGGAGUUUGGCCGCCAUUUGAUGAGCGAGGUCAAGGGAAAGAUGAUUUCAAGGAGUGAGAACUCUUCUUAUUUAUUUUAUGGUUUACUCUGUAGCUUUGGGCUCAAGAAUAGAGAGGGGGAUGAGGUGGGGGGUAGGAAGGAGAGAGAGGGUAGAGAGUUUGGAAAAGGAAAAGAAAUUUUAAGUUAUUCUUUAUUCUAAUAAGUAAUAAUGAGCACUAAAAUAUACUUCUGAAAUUUCAAUUUUAAUCAAGUGGACAAAAGUGCAAGUAAUUUUUAUAUAAGGUUAAAAUUGAAAAAAAUUACUCUUUUCGUACACCUUCAUUUGUUGCUUUUUAAAAGUUAUUUUAUUUAUAAUUAUUUGUCAUUCUGAGAAGAAUAAACAGUAUUAAUUAUUAACUCCAUCUACUUUUAUUUUCUUUUUAAGUUUUUGUAUGGUGAUUAAAAAAUUAAUUAAAUUACUUAAAUUAUAAUAAAAUGCUCAUUAAUUUGAUUAAAUAGCUCUUUAUCUCACUUAAUUAAAAAAGAAAGAGACAAUGUUAAUAUGAGUUUUAGAAAAUUAUAUAAAUAGUUUUUGUAUUUAAUAGGGAUAAUGCUACUAGCCAAGGGCAGACACAAUAGGAUACAACUAAUUCUUGCAAUGCACAUUUCAUAGCUUUUGAGUAGUAAAUUUCAGUGCCAAACCAAGAAUGAUUCCUAACUUCUACAGGGUCAAUUUUAGGAUUUUACACAGCAUUUGCUAAGGUCAGUUUCUUAAGCAUGGGCUUGAGGAUUUUUUUUAGGUCCUAUUGAUAAGGUCAUUUAUGAUUUGAGUAUGGACUUUAAUUAAUUUUAUCAUUUUGUUACAUUCUAUUGCUUGGAAAAGAUAUGGGCUUCCCAAAAACAGUCCUCUUGAAAGUAAUGUGAAUUAAUAUGAUGAUUAUUGUGGUGGGUGUUGUGGGGACAGUGUCAUCAUCUAAUAUAACUCUGUUGGUCUUAUUUUGCAGAGUGAUUCAUACCAGG
rnacentral:misc_RNA from 1 species